AUGAUCAGUGCUUUUUUUUUCCUUUUUCUUUUGCCUCCCUGGCCACUUAGUCAAGGACAGAACAGCCAGAGGCUCUGUGGAAGAUUGGGAGAGAAGCCAAGGGAAGGGAGGUUAGGAGGAGGGAGCUGCCUCAGAAUAGGACAGGUCUCCUCAGCUCACGCAUGCAGGGACCUCUACUCACAGAGGACUGGUCCUGGUUCAGAUUUUGCUGAGGACUGGGCAUCAGAGCGAGAAGGAGGUUUCUGGAUGAACUGUACUAACUGACCCAAGAGGAGACCCCAGAGGAAAGAAAAGCUGGUGGAGGUGCCUGGCUCGGUGGCCUAUUGAGAAAGAGCUGUCCCUGAGGAGCCUGAUGGGCGUCCUGGGGCUGGGGAAGCAGACAGAGGUCCUGAAAGGACAGUUGUCAGGGCAGCUACACAAAGGCCAUCACCAGGGUCUAGCUGGAACACAGUGGGGGAAAUCCCCCAGAGGUCUGAGAACAGUAGCCUGCAGUACUUUCUUUACCUUCUUCUAGGUCAGUGAUUGUCAAAAUGUGGUCCCUGGACCAACAGCAUCACUUGAGAAUUUAUUAAAGCUGCAGAUUAUUUGGGCCUCACUCCAGAUCUUCUGAAUCAGAACCUCGGGGGCUGGAGCCCAGUGAUUUAUAUUUUUGCAAGCUCUCCAGAUGAUUCCGAGGCACUCUCACAUUUGAAAACCAUUGCUGUGGGACAAGUGUUCCUUCUCACGAUGUCCUGUGGAAGGCAGGAUGCAAAAGUUGGCUAAGAGACGGGCCAGCUGAAUUCCCCCCCCAGCGCCUACUAAAGAGAAGCAGGGGUUGGAAAUUUAGAUGGCUUUGAGCCAGAAGUCAACUGUGAAUGUCUGAACAUUUCUUAGAGACCUCUAAUGAGGCUGGAUUCUGCUCCAAAGAAGCUGUUCCUUAGAGGUCAGUUUGAAGCUGAACUGAACACAACCACCAACAAAAAUAAAGGAGUUUGCCUAUGUGCUGGAGGGGAUUUCUCCACAGAAUAUUAAGUGUUCUUUCUAUAUGAAAACAGAAGGUCAAGGUCAUGCCAAUGUGUGGCUUAGAGAGUACAUUGUAUGUUUUGGCCCCAAAUAUCUCAUGAGAGACCAAAGUUAAUUUUGUGCCAGUCAACCUGAUCCAGUCAGAAGAAUGUUCUAGUAAUUUAUAAAUGUAUCACUCUAAAGAUAGUUGAGCCAAUGAUAGACUUUAAUUCCUCUACUUGGUUCUUAAAAGGGAACAGUGGAAUUUAAUUCCUUCCACUUAUUUCUAAACGUGGG
rnacentral:lncRNA from 1 species